AGAGCACAGCCGGGCUCUCGGCAGCCGGCAGGCAUGAGCCCUCCCGACAGAAACCGAGCCCAAACCUGCUGAUGCGCGGUGCUGUCGCUCCUGGGUUUAGUAACAGGCUCACAUCUGGAGUGGUAGGAAAGGUCUGUCAUGUCUGGAUGAGAAGCUAAAAUCUCAGCACCUCUUCCUUUCUCAGACACCAGAAACAACAAAACCUCCAGUUUUCUCCUUGGUCAACAGAGAAACAGAGAACAGAGAAAGCAACAACCCCUGAACUGGUUGAAACUGCUGCCUGUGCUCUCGUUGAAGGUUUUAAACUUUUUCACUUUAAAGGCGACAGCAGUUUGAAAUCUGCUCGUGUUUCACGUGUUCCACUGGUAUAAAGCUUCUGGAGAAAUGCAUCAGGAACAUUUGAAUGCAAGUGAAGGUGUUUCAUGUUCAAACAGAAACAAAUCACUGAGGUGCCUUAACACAAGACAUCACCAAGGCUUUGCACAUGUCACUCACUCACAGAGAAGCUCAUCUAAGCAUGGGAAUGACCAAAGCCAAAACAAAAGUAAGUUGCUGAAUUAUUCUGUGAAUUUUCUUUUUGUAGCUGCACUGCAACUGUUUGAACUCUUUUCAGAUGUUUUUUCUUAAACUUUUAAUGCUUUUUA